rnacentral:rRNA from 1 species
AGAGUUUGAUCCUGGCUCAGGAUGAACGCUGGCGGCGUGCCUAAUACAUGCAAGUCGAACGCUUUGUGGUCCAACUGAUUUGAAGAGCUUGCUCAGAUAUGACGAUGGACAUUGCAAAGAGUGGCGAACGGGUGAGUAACACGUGGGAAACCUACCUCUUAGCAGGGGAUAACACUUGGAAACAAGUGCUAAUACCGUAUAACACUAAUAACCGCAUGGUUAUUAGUUAAAAGAUGGUCUUGCUAUCACUAAGAGAUGGUCCCGCGGUGUAUUAGCUAGUUGGUAAGGUAAUGGCUUACCAAGGCAAUGAUACAUAGCCGAGUUGAGAGACUGAUCGGCCACAAUGGGACUGAGACACGGCCCAUACUCCUACGGGAGGCAGCAGUAGGGAAUCUUCCACAAUGGACGAAAGUCUGAUGGAGCAACGCCGCGUGUGUGAUGAAGGGUUUCGGCUCGUAAAACACUGUUGUAAGAGAAGAAUGACAUUGAGAGUAACUGUUCAGUGUGUGACGGUAUCUUACCAGAAAGGAACGGCUAAAUACGUGCCAGCAGCCGCGGUAAUACGUAUGUUCCAAGCGUUAUCCGGAUUUAUUGGGCGUAAAGCGAGCGCAGACGGUUAUUUAAGUCCGAAGUGAAAGCCCACAGCUUAACUGUGGAAGUGCUUUGGAAACUGGAUAACUUGAGUGCAGUAGAGGAGAGUGGAACUCCAUGUGUAGCGGUGAAAUGCGUAGAUAUAUGGAAGAACACCAGUGGCGAAGGCGGCUCUCUGGGACUGUAAACUGACGUUGAGGCUCGAAGUGUGGGUAGCAAAC